GAUGCGACCUCAGCUCAGGCGGGGCCACCCGCUGAGUUUAAGCAUAUCAAUAAGCGGAGAAAAGAA
rnacentral:rRNA from 1 species